GUUUUAUACUUUUUCUACAGAUGAGCAGCAUAGUAUGUUGGAAAAGUCCCAAAGAGAAGUCAGGAACCCUGAGGGUCCUGUUCCAUUCCUGCUUCUGUAAGCCUGUGUGAUCCAGUCUCCCAGAAAAGAACAAAGGCAACCCAGUGAAAUGUCUGACAGAUGGGAACACAGAUGCAAAGCCAAGUCACAGAGGAGUCAAGAUUUCGGUGGAGAUGAAUUUGGUUGUGCUCCUGGGGAUAGAGAUUAAACCACUCCAUCACGAUACUGAGUGCCCAGAAAAAGGAAUGAGAUUAAUUUCAGGUCCAUAGAGAUAGAGACCAAAGUUCAGAAUCUACUGAACAGACAGGCAUAGAAUCAAUAAAGAAAUCAGAUGUAAAUUUAAUGUGCUAAAUGCUCUAAAUGCCUAAUUAUGAAAUGAAAAUUUGUUAGUAUUGGAAUAUAUACAAAAUAUUUUUGUAUCGUUGUUCUCAAAGUAAAUGUUCAAAAUACUUUUGUUCAAAUAAAAGUUCUUCAUCA